UAAAUUAAGAAUUAACCCUAUUCUCUAGGCGUGACCUCUGAACUCAAGGAAAACUGAAGAUUAACCACUUAAGGAAACUAAAAACGGACCCUAUUUUCUAGGGGAGGACCCUUGAACUUAAGGAAAGAUAAAAACUAACAACUUAAGGGAAUUAAAAACUAACCCGAUUCUCUAGGUGAGACCCCUAAAUUUUGAGAUUAACAACUUAAGAAAACUAAAUCUGACCCUAUUAUCCAGGCGAGACCCAUGAACAUAAGGAAUGCUAAAGAUUGAUAACUUAAAGAAACCAAAACUAAC
rnacentral:lncRNA from 1 species